AUUGAACGCUGGCGGCAGGCCUAACACAUGCAAGUCGAACGGUAACAGGAAGAAGCUUGCUUCUUUGCUGACGAGUGGCGGACGGGUGAGUAAUGUCUGGGAAACUGCCUGAUGGAGGGGGAUAACUACUGGAAACGGUAGCUAAUACCGCAUAACGUCGCAAGACCAAAAAGGGGGACCUUCGGGCCUCUUGCCAUCGGAUGUGCCCAGAUGGGAUUAGCUAGUAGGUGGGGUAACGGCUCACCUAGGCGACGAUCCCUAGCUGGUCUGAGAGGAUGACCAGCCACACUUGGAACUGAGACACGGUCCAGACUCCUACGGGAGGCAGCAGUGGGGAAUAUUGCACAAUGGACGCAAGCCUGAUGCAGCCAUGCCGCGUGUAUGAA
rnacentral:rRNA from 1 species